UUUGAGAGUUUGGAAUAUGGCUCAGGACGAACGCUGGCGGCGUGCCUAAUACAUGCAAGUCGAGCGGACAGAUGGGAGCUUGCUCCCUGAUGUUAGCGGCGGACGGGUGAGUAACACGUGGGUAACCUGCCUGUAAGACUGGGAUAACUCCGGGAAACCGGGGCUAAUACCGGAUGCUUGUUUGAACCGCAUGGUUCAAACAUAAAAGGUGGCUUCGGCUACCACUUACAGAUGGACCCGCGGCGCAUUAGCUAGUUGGUGAGGUAACGGCUCACCAAGGCAACGAUGCGUAGCCGACCUGAGAGGGUGAUCGGCCACACUGGGACUGAGACACGGCCCAGACUCCUACGGGAGGCAGCAGUAGGGAAUCUUCCGCAAUGGACGAAAGUCUGACGGAGCAACGCCGCGUGAGUGAUGAAGGUUUUCGGAUCGUAAAGCUCUGUUGUUAGGGAAGAACAAGUACCGUUCGAAUAGGGCGGUACCUUGACGGUACCUAACCAGAAGCCCUGG
rnacentral:rRNA from 1 species